GUUUAUAAUUAUGUAAUGAUGAACCAGAACAAUUUGUUAAUUUGAAACUACAAUUACAAGAUUUUAUAAUUAUGUUAGGCUCUAGGCAGACUAAUGAAGAGUAUGUUAGUUUACUUUGUACGAAAAUCUGUUCUUUGACAUAAUUAUAGAAUAAGAUGAUAAGUGAUGAUGCAAUCUAAGAUGGAAGCGAGAUAAGUAGUUAGGCAAAGGAUGAAAAUCCACACACAUUUCUGUUUCUACAUAAUAUCUCACCGGAACACUAAAUCACUUGCCAGUAGGGUAUUAACUAGCCAGCCAGACAUAGACCAGAAAGAAAACUUCAAUCGGCCCAGCCGGGGAUAGAACCCAGGACUUCUGCGUAGUUAAUCCACUGUGCUACGGAGGCCAUUUCGGCAAUAUUAUUCUUGCCUUGAUUUAUAAAAGUUUUUGCCAAUAAAAAGCUACAUUUUUCAUUGAAGGUUGUUUGAAAGAAAUAGCUUUUAGCUAUAAGACCUAAGCUUUGCACAUUUUACUUUUUUUUUCUUUUUGACAAUGUAGCUUCUGUGAACAGUUGAGGAAUUCCCUCAUCUGUGUUACUGUUCUAUCAUCAGAUUGCCUCCGGACAUUUUAGUUAUAUUUCUCACCUGGUUCUUGUCAAGGUUUUGUAAUAAAUAACAAUAACAAAUGAACUAAGUAAAAAUGGCUAUGUGGUUAGUCUGUCUGCCGUAGAAGUAGAUGCAAGAGGAUUACCAACAAAAUCUUUCUAUAACUUGUUUAAAGACCUUGGCAUCUUUAGGACGGCAGCAACUUCUAUGUAGAAGAAAGAGAGAAAGAAGAAUAAGUAUCCAAAGCUGCUCUUAGUAGGAUCUUACCAAAUUUGGCUAAGCAGGGAGAACAACACAAGUAGGGGAGUUUAAUCAAUUGUCAAGGAAUUCCUUAACCCUACAUCCUGUAGUCACAACUCCAGGACUCUGCUCGGAGUAUUUCUCUCUACCAGGCGAUGGACCUGGCACCUGCACGGAAUGCUAAGAUAUUCAUCUGUCUCUUCAUGCGUAGUAUGUUUAUGUAUUUUUAAUUAAAUUUACUCACUCUCUUUAUUUCAGUAAUGUCCAGAUAAUCAAUGAUUAGACUAUUGGACUUUUAGAAUAAAUUUUACAUUGAACUAUGAAUGGUUUGUCAUCUACAUUUUUAAAAAAGACGAGAUGUUUUGCCUGUAAGAAGAAGAGAGAGAGAGAAUAAGAAGUUAAGUUAAACACCUACUGUAAAAUGCACACUGCUCCAAUGUGGGUUGAUAGGCUUGGGGUAAUAAAGUUAAAUUAUAAAAGGAUCACUAUCAGGUGUUAAUGAUAAUGACUGGGAUAUAUAGCAUAUCAUACUCUCUGAGAUAUAGGGAUAUAACACCAGCAACAGCUCUCCAGUGAUAGCAUCAUUGCUCUUUGCAUCUACAUGCCAUUGCCAGUUGUGGCAAUCGAACUCAUCAUAUUAGUGUGAUGAGCAUGGAUGUAUUUCAGAGUCUAUGUGGUUGUGAGUGUUAAAUAACAAGUAAUGGCCCAAAUAAUAAGUAGCCUAUAUGUUGCUCAAUAAUCUUCUCUAUCUUCCAGUAAAAGUCCCAUUAAAAUGACCCUGCUGUUCCAGAGAUUAGCUCAAACAAACAGACAGAUGAACAUUUUAAAGAAGUAUGGCUGUAUGUCAGUAUUGUAUAUAGGCACUUGAGAAAACACAGUUAUUUUGAAAUCACAGACAUACACUUAAAUUUUAUUUAUAUGUAUUGGUGCUGUUCAUAAAUAUAGCAUCAGCUGAAACAAACUAGGCAUAGUUAAGUUACAUUUUAUACAGGGUACUCGGGCCUAUUUCUCAUAAAUUCAAGGUGUUGACAAGUCCACUUAUAGCUACCUUAGCUACUAGUUUAUAUUGAGGAGAACUUUCCACCUAGAUGGGUUUUGACUGUAUUAGGGGUCUGGUGAUGAAGACGAAGGACAGUUAAGAGAACUCCUCAACGGUUCACAGUAGCUACCAUGUGUUGAUAAAUUUGUAUUGAUGAGAACUUUCCACCUAGAUGGGUUGUGACUGUAUGAGGGGUCUGGUAAUGAAGACAGUUAAGGGAACUCCUCGAUGGUUCACAGUAGUAAUUAGUUUGAUUCUAAGUCAGACGCAAUCAAAUACAAUGUUUUAUCACGACUCAUAGCAACAUACCUUUGGCGCUAGAUCAAUAUCUAGGAUGAUUUCACUAAAAUUGAAUUUCUUUUAUUAAAAAUAAAAAUUUUUAAUAAAAGAAAUUCAACCAACUUCAAAAACAUAAAACAUACUGGCUAAACUAAAAAGCGAAAAAUAAUAUUAUACUAAGUUCAUAUCAUAUUAUGUUCUAACUGAUGAUCAGUUUGAAGGCUGUGCUACACCGGUGUUGUUUUAAUUUAAGCUGUUACUGAAAGAACUACAUGAAAGAACACUGUCUUAAAAACCUAAAUAUUUAUGAUAUUCUUACAUGGCUUGAAUUAAUACAUCAUUGGGCUAGCACCACCUUCAAACUGAUCAUCAGUUAGAACAUAAUAUGAUAUAUAGAACUUAGUAUAAUGUUAUUUUUCGUUUUUUAGUUUAGUAAGUAUGUUUUUGAAGUCGGUUGACUUGUUUUUAUUAAAGUUUUUUAAUACACAUGUUCCUUAGACAUUUUAAAUUAAUUUUCCGUAUAGAACUUGGAGCUACCCUAGAGUUAUGGGAAAUAUUCCCGAGCACCCUGUAGAUGCUACUUAAUCCUACUAAUCCUUCAUUCAUCAGUAUCGGUUGGUGGGCUUGGAGUUUAUAAAGUAUAUAUAAUUUAUUUAUGAACAUUCCUCAUUCAGUUGAGCUUUUACUACCCAUAACACAAGCUAAGCUUACUUUGAGACUAGUUAGUGAUGUGUGUAAUGUGUUAAUAUAAAUAUUAACCAACUUUCUGCAGUUUGAGAAUACGCGGAUAAAAUAUAGCCUAUGAUACUCAGAAAUAACGUGGCUUUCUAGUGGUAAAAGAAUUUUCAAAAUUGGUUCAGAAGAUCCAGAGUUUACCUGCUAGAACACCACUAUUUUUACCUCUUUAUAAUACAUACUAGCGGACGCCCGCGACUUCGUCCGCGUAAAUUUCGAUGUCAACUUUACUACUACCCCUAGCCUACCCUACCACUACCCCAACCCUACCCAACUCCUACAUCUACCCUACCCCUACCCUACCCUACCCCUAACCCCAUCCUACCCCUACCCCCAUCCUAACCCUACCCCCAUCCAACCCCUACCCUCCCCGUACCCUAUCCCUUUCCUACCCCUAUCUCACGCCCAUCCUACCCCUACCCUACCACUUCCCUAUCCUACCCGUACCUCUACCCUACCACUACACUAACUCUGCCCCUACCAUACCACUACCCUAAACCCGGCCCUAAACCUACCCUACCCCUACACUACCCCUGUAACUUCUCUAUCUUACUGCUACCCUUAGCAAAAUCGGUCCAGUCCUUCGAGAGUGGUGGUAUGACCAAGAGAAAUAGAGACUUCUAUGCUAAUAAUAUAAAGAGGUAAAGUUCGUGUGGUUGUAGGAGGUAAUCUCUGGAUCUACUGGACCGAUUUGGAAAAAUGUUUUACCAAUAGAAAGCUACGUUAUUUGCGAGUGUCAUAGGCUAUGUUUGAUCCCCAUAUUCACACGGGAACGGGAACUACGUAAAUGAAAGGCCGGGCGUCAUAUAGCGGAAUUUCUGCGUCUUUUAGAAAUUUUGUAUUAUCUCCGAAACGAUUUAACUAAUUAACAUACUAUUAAGGGCAAAUCUUAUCUCCAUAAUAUCCUUGUGAUUAUUAAAUAAUUUAUUUUAAUAAGGAUUAAAGUUUAGUUGUAUAAAUAAUGACGUAAACCUAAGUAUAUAAAAUUAAUAAUGUUUAAAACACAAAAGGUACUAUAUCUGCUAAUAUAUAGAAGAUAGAUAUAUGAUGUCGCGGACUUUUUUGUAGAACUAUUAAAGAUACAUAAAGCCUCCAUACAUUAAUUUCAAUUUUACACAAUGGUUAAGGCAGCGCAUGCGAAUAAGUCUGCUUAAGAGGAUUUUCAGUCCGACCUGUAUGACAAAAACUGUGUUAACUCGGCGAAUAUAUAUCAUGCUAAUAUAAAAUAUAGCCUAUAGCACUCCCCGAUAAUGUAGCAUUCUACUGGUGAAAGAAUUUUUGAAAUCGGACCAGUAGUUCCGAAGAUUACCCCAUUUAAAGAAUGUGAAAAACUUACAAACUUUACCUCUUUAUAAUAUUAGUAUAGAUAUAGUUUAACAACCCAUUUUCGGCUCAUUGUUGAGCACGAGUCACUUCUCAGGACGAGAGGGGUUAGGCCUUAGUCCUUCAUGCUGGCCCAAUGCGGAUUGGCAGACUUCACACACCUAGACAAUUAAGAAAAUUCUCAGUUAUGCAGGUUUCUUCACAAUGUUAUGCUUCACCAUUUAAGACAUUUAAUUUUAAAAUGGGUUGGAUACAUAUUGGUAUAGAUUUUUAUUGUGAGUUUCUUGAAAGAAGGAAAUGCUCAAUAUUUCAUAGACCAACCCAGGACUCAAACUCAGAAUUUCCUGAUAGUUACACUGAACCAAUAAAGCAGUUAGAGAGAGAGAGAGAGAGAGAGAUAAAUAAGAGUUUAUUAUGUAUUAAAAUUAAAAUAUAUACCUAAUGCUUUCAGCAAUCCUGCUUCUUCACAUGAAUUUUACCCGCAUGACGACGGUUUUUAAUAUAAAAAAUAUUUACACAAUGUCUCAAAAAACAAUCAAAGCUUUGAAAAAUAAACAAUGUUCGCAGAAGUUCAGUACCAACAAACUCACAAAAAAUGAGCCCAAAUUUAGCAUUACUUGCAAGCCAGACUAAGAAAUUUCAAGAAGAUAAUUUAAAAGAAGACAAUAGAAUAAACAGAUAAACAGAUGGAAACCAGGCAAUAGGUGUAGCAAAAUAGAAGAUGAAGGUCUAGCUGUGCCAGUGCUGAGCCACACAGUUGCUACUGGCAUGUUUGCAAAAUAGCACAAGGUGUAGCAAAAUAGAAGAUGAAGGUCUAGCUGUGCCAGUGCUGAGCCACACAGUUGCUACUGGCAUGUUUGCAAAAUAGCACAAGGUGUAGCAAAAUAGAAGAUGAAGGUCUAGCUGUGCCAGUCAGUGCUGAGCCACACAGUUUUUGCUGGCAUGUUUGCAAAAUAGCACAAGGUGUAGCAAAAUAGAAGAUGGAGGUCUAGCUGUGCCAGUGCUGAGCCACACAGUUGCUACUGGCAUGUUUGCAAAAUAGCACAAGGUGCUGUAAAAUGAAGAUAUAUUGUUAAAUAUCAUGAGAUAGAAAUAAAAGAUGAAGAUCUAGCUGUACCCGUCCCGAGCCACACUACUGCAGCCACGUUGCUGCUGGGAUUUUUGCAAAAUAGCACAAGGUCACAACAAUUGAUGUAACAACCAGCACCAGGACCAGGCACCUGCACCAUGAUUCUUUGGAAUACUAAAAUUCGUCUCUUUAUGUCUGUACUUCUCAUAAUGAAAAAUGUCACGUUUUUAUAAAAGAAAUAAUGGAAUCAAAUAAUAAAUAAAACAAGCAUAUGCUGGAAGUCCUCAGAAACAGCUCCGACUUUGAUGAUUUUUUUUAAAGUCAUGUUUUUUAUGUUAUUUAAAAUCAUAAAUGUUUUGGUGGACGAAAUUAUUUAAAUUGUUAAAAAAUAUCUAUGCUAUUUAUACAUAUAUAUAUAUAUAUUUUUUUUUAAAUACAACCGACUUCAAAAAUACAAACUUAUGCAGAAAACUAACAAACGAAAGAAAAUAUUAUAAUAUUUUCUAUCUAUUGAUCACUUUGAAGGCGGUGCCAAUGGUCCAAUUAAUGGGCCGACAAUUAGUUAUCUAUUGUUUACUAGCUAUAGGGUUCGAAUUGCUUUUUCAUAUGUUUAAAAGACUAUCAUCGGAAUGAACCCUUUAUAAUAAAAAAGUAUUAUCAAAAUCGGACCGGUCCGACCUAUUAAACAAUCAAUCAUCCCCUGUUUUCGUAAUGUAAAACCAAGCAUAACUGUUAACAUGAGUAGUCCGAUUUUGAUAAUUCUUUUAAUUGAUCAUUCUUGAUUGUUUUAGUUUAAAACCAAGCAUGUCUUCGAAUUCCGAUUUAAAUAACUUUGUUUUAAAUAGAAAGGGUAUAUUCCGACAAUGGUCCCAAAUCAUUAUAAAUUUAAAAAAAACGAAGAUGACUGGUUAUUUUCCCAUUAAUUGUAUUGUAAAACUAUGCGUAACUUAUUACGAAGUGGUCCGAUUUCGUAAAUUCUUUAUAGAUUGUAAAGGUAUUUUGAUUGUAAAGCUCCCAUAUAAAUUUUAAAAAACAAUUCCAAUCCUAAAUGUGCGAUUGAUUGUUUUCUCAUUCAUUUUAAUAUAAAACCAAGCAUAACUUUUUAUUGGGUGGUUCGAUUUUGAUUAUUCUUUUUUUGAUAGAAAGGCUAUAUUCCUAAAAAUCUCAUAAAAUGUUGGAAAAAACAAUUUCAAACCUAAUAGUAGGAAAAUAGAAGAUGAUUAAUUGUUUUCCCAUUUAUUGUAAUGUUAAACUAUGCGUAACUUUUUACUGAGUGGACCGAUUUUGAAAAUUCUUUACUUUUUGUAAAGGGUUUAUUUCGAAGUAGGUCCCAUAUAAAUUUCGGAAAACAAUUCGAAUCCUUAAGGUGGAAAAAAACGGUACGAUUGAUUGCCUACCCAUUAAUUGUACAAUUGGCACCGGCUUCAAAGUAAUCAGUAGAUAUAAAAUAUUAUAAUGUUUUCUUCAGCUUAUUAGUUUACUGCAUAACUUUGUGUUUUUGAAGUCGGUAGUGUCUAUUUUUUAAUUAUUUAUUAUAUAAAUAGCAUAACUAUUGUUAAAUAGUAUAAAUCGUUCCAUCCUCACUCAAUAUGAAGAAACAAACUGAACAAAAAAAAUCAUCAAAAUCAGAGCUGUUUGAGGAGGUAGAGGGUAAAUGCUCUAUUGAUUCGCCUAAAAGUAAUAUUAUGUUAUCGCAUUAGGUUGUAAAGUUUGGCUAAUGAAAGUAGAGACUGAAAUUGCCCGCCAAAUUUAAAAAUCACAUGCGUUUUCAUAAUUUAUUUAAAUUAGUUUUUCUUUGUGAAUACAUUAUUACCUAUACUAUAAGUGUUAAACUCAGUUAUUCCAAUAUUUGCACUAUAAUUUUGAGAAUUUACUCCGAUUUUUUAAAAUUUGGCGGGUGAUUUCAGUUUCUACUUUCAUUAGCCAAAUUCUAAUAAUUUUAUUGUUUGUGAAAUUUAUACUAAUUAGAAAGAGGAAGAAUUUGAUUAUUUGUUUGUUUGCAUUGAAUAGGCUCUGAAACUACUUUGCUGAUUUAAAAAUUUCUUACAGCAUUAUAAUCAUGGAUUAGGCCAUAAUUGUUAUCUCUGUAUUCCCACGGGAACGAGAACUACGCUGGUGAAACUGCGUGACGUUUGCAUAGUUUAUCAUAUGUACAAAUAUCCCGACAAUCUAUAUUUUUAUGUAUGAAUUGGUUAAGUUAUAAUUGACUUGAUUUUCCCAAAUAUCUCAGUGAAGUCAAAUACCCAAUUGAUGCAUAGAUAUAUUUUUAUUUUGGUUUUCAUUUUACUUUAAAGAUAAAAUUUAGUUUUAGAAGCAAAAUGAAUAUAUGUAGAUUAUAUUUAAGGUGCUGAUGUUUACUUAGUAAUUGAUUAAGUGCAUAACAUAUUUAUUUGAUAAUAAAGACAUUUCAACUUGAAA